GACAUAAAUAUGCUCUCAUCCCCAUCAGUCUCACCAUGACCUCAGAGGUCUCAAGUCUGAAGGUCUACAUGGGAAACAAUGACCUCCCCAGCCAAAUUCCUCUGGCUGCUGGUGCUCUGGGUCCAGGGGUCCUGUGAAGUUAUUUUGCUGAGUCCAUCUCCAGUAUCUCUGUCUAUUGCUCCUGGGGAAAGUGUCACCAUCAGCUGCACAGCCAGUCAGGAUGUUUAUGGUAUAUCCUUGCACCAGCAGUCCCCAGUUCAAUUUACCAAGCUCCUGAUCUAUUAUGCUUCCACCCUGGACUCUGGGGUCCCUGCGUGGUUCAGUGGCAGUGGGUCAAGGACAGAUUAUACUCUCACGAUCAGCAGUGUGGAGGCUGAAGAUGUUGGACAUUACCAAUGUCAGCAAACUUAUAACUACCCUUCCACAGUGCUGCACCCUUGAAGAAAAACUUCCCCAGGUGCUUAGGCCCUUUAGCUCAGGAAAGCAACUGCUUUCUUCAGAGCAAAAGUCAAAGCAGCCCCUGAACCCAGGGGAUUACUGGUCAUUCAGCUUUACUAUGGUG